rnacentral:rRNA from 1 species
CACGUAGGGGGCGAGCGUUGUCCGGAUUUAUUGGGCGUAAAGAGCUCGUAGGCGGCUCGGUAAGUCGGGUGUGAAAUCCCCGGGCUUAACCUGGGAAUUGCGCUUGAAACUAGCGGGCUUGAGUGCGGCAGAGGGGGGUGGAAUUCCACGUGUAGCAGUGAAAUGCGUAGAGAUGUGGAGGAACACCGAUGGCGAAGGCAGCCCCCUGGGUCGACACUGACGCUCAUGCACGAAAGCGUGGGGAGCAAACAGG